rnacentral:rRNA from 1 species
GCAAGUCGAACGCGAAAGCACCUUCGGGUGCGAGUAGAGUGGCGGACGGGUGAGUAAUGCAUAGGAAUCUGCCUAGUAGUGGGGGACAACUACCGGAAACGGUAGCUAAUACCGCAUACGACCUACGGGUGAAAGGGGGCUUCGGCUCUCGCUAUUAGAUGAGCCUAUGUCAGAUUAGCUUGUUGGUGGGGUAAUGGCCCACCAAGGCAACGAUCUGUAGCUGGUUUGAGAGGAUGAUC